rnacentral:rRNA from 1 species
UACGUAGGGUGCAAGCGUUGUCCGGAAUUAUUGGGCGUAAAGAGCUUGUAGGCGGUUUGUCGCGUCUGCUGUGAAAUUUCGGGGCUCAACCCCGAACUUGCAGUGGGUACGGGCAGACUAGAGUGUGGUAGGGGAGACUGGAAUUCCUGGUGUAGCGGUGAAAUGCGCAGAUAUCAGGAGGAACACCGAUGGCGAAGGCAGGUCUCUGGGCCAUAACUGACGCUGAGAGACGAAAGCUAGGGGAGCGAAUGGG